GCGGCCCUACACAUGCAAGUCGAACGGCAGCACAGAAGAGCUUGCUCUUUGGGUGGCGAGUGGCGGACGGGUGAGUAAUGUCUGGGAAACUGCCCGAUGGAGGGGGAUAACUACUGGAAACGGUAGCUAAUACCGCAUAACGUCGCAAGACCAAAGUGGGGGACCUUCGGGCCUCACACCAUCGGAUGUGCCCAGAUGGGAUUAGCUAGUAGGUGGGGUAAUGGCUCACCUAGGCGACGAUCCCUAGCUGGUCUGAGAGGAUGACCAGCCACACUGGAACUGAGACACGGUCCAGACUCCUACGGGAGGCAGCAGUGGGGAAUAUUGCACAAUGGGCGCAAGCCUGAUGCAGCCAUGCCGCGUGUAUGAAGAAGGCCUUCGGGUUGUAAAGUACUUUCAGCGGGGAGGAAGGCGGUGAGGUUAAUAACCUCGCCGAUUGACGUUACCCGCAGAAGAAGCACCGGCUAACUCCGUGCCAGCAGCCGCGGUAAUACGGAGGGUGCAAGCGUUAAUCGGAAUUACUGGGCGUAAAGCGCACGCAGGCGGUCUGUUAAGUCAGAUGUGAAAUCCCCGGGCUUAACCUGGGAACUGCAUUUGAAACUGGCAGGCUUGAGUCUCGUAGAGGGGGGUAGAAUUCCAGGUGUAGCGGUGAAAUGCGUAGAGAUCUGGAGGAAUACCGGUGGCGAAGGCGGCCCCCUGGACGAAGACUGACGCUCAGGUGCGAAAGCGUGGGGAGCAAACAGGAUUAG
rnacentral:rRNA from 1 species